rnacentral:rRNA from 1 species
CCUACGGGUGGCAGCAGUGAGGAAUAUUGGUCAAUGGGCGCGAGCCUGCACCAGCCAAGUAGCGUGAAGGAUGACUGCUCUCCGGUUUGUAACUUUCUUUUAUAAAGGACUAAAGUGAGGCACGUGUGCCUUUUUGUAUCUCCUUUAUGAAUAAGGAUCGGCUCACUCGGUGCCAGCAGCCGCGGUAAUAUGGAGGAUGCAAGCGUUAUCCGGAUUUAUUGGGUUUAAAGGUAGAGUAGAUGGGUUGUUAAGUCAGUUGUGAAAGUUUUCGGCUCAACCGUAAAAUUGCAAUUGAUACUGGCAGUCUUGAGUACAGUUGAGGUAGGCGGAAUUCGUGGUGUAGCGGUGAAAUGCUUAGAUAUCACGAAGAACUCCGAUUGCGAAGGCAGCUUACUAAACUGCCACUGACAUUGAUGCACGAAAGUGUGGGUAGCAAACAGGAUUAGAUACCCCUGUAGUC